rnacentral:rRNA from 1 species
UACAGAGGGUGCAAGCGUUAAUCGGAAUUACUGGGCGUAAAGCGCGCGUAGGUGGAUAAUUAAGUUAGCUGUGAAAGCCCUGGGCUCAACCUGGGAAAGCCAGCUAAAACUGAUUGUCUAGAGUAUGGUAGAGGGAAGUGGAAUUUCCGGUGUAGCGGUGAAAUGCGUAGAUAUCGGAAGGAACAUCAGUGGCGAAGGCGACUUCCUGGACCAAUACUGACACUGAGGCGCGAAAGCGUGGGUAGCAAACAGG